UAGUAUUAUACUAUUAUUAUUACGAGAUUCGUGGUAAAUUGGUGUAAUUAAAAUGAUAUAACAAAAACAAAAUAUACUAAUAGCAAAAAAGAAAAGUAAAGAAAAAGCCAAAUACUUUUGUUUGGAACGUGGCAUGAGAAUCCGUAUGAGACUUUUGGGGGCAAAAUCGGCGUUACACAUGUUUGGGUUGCUAUGCGAGUGUGUUGGACUUUUGUGUGCGUACGACGACAAAAACCGGUACGGUCCGGUACAAUUGCCAACGGUUGCCUCACUAACGGAGUUAAUAACGGGGAAUCUCGAAGUCUAACGGCGUUUACUUCGUCUAAGAGAUUCCUCUCGACGUGUUGCCCACAUUGCUACGAUUCGCGGUUCUAGGCCCAUGAAAAGGUCACAUCUUGGAUGAUCGGACGGCUGAGAAUUAAGUGGAAGUUUUAAAAUUUUCAUUAGACAAAGACAUAUAUAAUUGACGUAUUAAACUAUUUACUUGUGGAAUUAUUAGUUUUAAAAAAUAAGCAAAGAUUCUCAUAAUUAAUUACUUGCACCAACCGAACCAUUAAACCAU